AUGGAAUCUCAGUUCCCCAACCAGGAAUCAAAGCCAUGUCCCCUGCAUUGGCAGGGUGGAGUCUUAACCACUGGACCAUCAGGGAAGUCCCAGGAUGCUUAUUUGAAGAAAUGGAAAAUAAUAAGUAUCAGCAAUGAUGUGGAGCUUCUAUCUUCUUGGAUUUCUCCUCCUUCGCAUCUCAGUUUUUUAAGCUGCAUCCAUCCACCCAGGCUCUUUCCUGGUGACAUAGUGAUAAAGAACCUGCCUGCCAAUGCAGGAGAGUUGGGUUCCAUCCCUGGGUCAGGAAGAUCCCCUGGAGAAGGCAAUGGAAACCCACUCCAGUAUUCUUGCCUGGAGAAUCCCAUGGACAGAGGAGCCAGGCAGGUUAUAGUCGGUGGGGUUGCAAAGAGUUGAACAUGACUGAGUGACUCAACAACAACAAUCCAAUGAGGGGUUGACACCAGAAAUUAGGCACCAUCUUGGCUCCUUCCUCCCAUUACCUCCACAUCCCAUCGAUGGCCUAAUCUGGGCUUGUCCAGCUCAGCACAGCUCUCAAGACCUCUCUCUUCUCUCCAUCACUGCACUCUCCUAUAGUCCAGGUCACCCAUCCCAGCUCACCUGGGCUUAUAGAGAGCCUCCAGCCUCCAGUCUUGCUUCCCUCUGAGCAAUGGUUCUCAAAUGUGGAGCUUUAACGUCUCCUGGGAGCUUGUCAGAAAUGUAGAUUCUUAGGUUCUUCCCAGAUCUACCUGGAGGUGUGAUUCAGCAGAGGGUGUUCUAACAAGCUCUCCGAAAGAUGCUAGUACACACUAAACCUUGAAGACCACUCUCUCAAGUCAUCUUUCUACACUACAACCUGGACACACCUUCUAACUGCAAAUUAGAUCAAGCUCUUUCUUGUGCUGAUUAAAUUUUAAACAUUUCAACUUCAGUGUUGUUUCUUCACCCUACUCAGUAAGAGAUCCUUGUGCAUCCGCCUUCCACCCCCACACUUCCCUAUCAGAGCACUGAUCACAUUGCUUAUCUAUCUGUCUUUUAGCUGCACGCUCUAGAAAGGCAGGUGUGGAGUUUGUCCCGCACAUCACAUAUCCCCAGCACCUCAUCACUCAUGAAGGAGAAGAAGAAGGAAAAGAAUGGAUGACAUGACAGCUAAGGUUGUAUCCUAGAAAAUGUGAAUGUCAGAUUAGAAAAUUAGAAGUUCAGGAGAAUGGGGAGUCAUUGCAAAGUUUCUGUGCUGGCAGCCAGGAGGGGAGUAGCAGUCAAAAAGCUCAAACCACCAGCAGAGGAUAGCUUGUGAGCUAUGGUAUGGAGGUCAGACUGGGCAGAGUGAGGGAGGCAGAGACCAGAGAACCCUCAAAAUGGAAAGCAAGUGAAGACCUGAAAUACAGAAUGAGUUUGAUGGAAAAAGGGACAGAAUUGGACCAGUGUUACUUGACUUUGGAUUAUCCAACCAGAGCAACCCAGAGGUGAUACAACCUGAAAGAUGCUACUGAUUCAAAUCCAAGUGAAUCAAAAGAUGGUGAUGCUAUAAGCAAAAUAAUAAUAAGUGUGGAGGUAAACUAAGUUCUGACAGAAGGAUUUAUAAGCUUAGAAUGUGUUGCAUUCAAGGUCACCAUUGGUUAUCUAGAUAGAAAGGUUCAGUGUAGGGACUUCCCUGGUGGUUCAGUGGUUAACACUCCAGGCUACCAAUGCAGGGGGGGCCGGGGUUCGAUCCUUGGUCAGGGAAAUAGAUCCCACAUGCCGCAACUAAGAACUGCACAGCCAAAAAAACAAAAAGUGGGCUUCUUGGACCUAACCUUUAAAAAAAAAAGUUUCAGUGUAAAGGUUCAGUGGGGGUGUCUCAGGAGAAAGAGUGGGCAAAAGAAGCAGGCUUGGAAGGCAUCUGUGGAGAGUUUGGGGGUGAAGCCACAGGGAGUCUGGCGUUGGUGAUAGCUAGUGACAGAAGGAAUGUGAAGGAAAGACCAGCUACUUUUUUAAGGGUGAAGAGGGACAGAUUUAAGAAUCAUUAUUAACACACAUAAAAGUAAAAAACUAAAAAUUGUAAACCCAGCAAUUGAAACAUUAAGAGGAGUAAGCAGUGUAUCUUACUUUCGUCCCAUUCCACAAAGAAAAUAACACCAAAAUGCUUACCAGGCACCCCCCACCAGACUUGCUCUUUGCUUACUCAUACAGAAUCAAAAGCUCCCCUAGGGGUCCACUCCCAUCUCAGAAAUCCACACCCUUCCAAUUCAUUCUCCAGGCACAUUUAAAACAUACUAGAGGGAAAAUGGAUUUCUGAGUUCAGAAGCAUACAAACCCACAAUUAUAAUUAUAUAGAGGGAAACAUAAAACAUUUGUGCACCGAAUUUAUAGAACUAAAGUACCUUAUUAAAAUGCAGCAUUUUUAAUCCAUACACUCAAAUACUCAAAUGUCAGUUUUUAAUGGAGGGAUAUAAUUAUAAGCAUUAUAUUAAUUAAGCUUUCAAAGACUUCAGAUUGUUGAUUUGAUAUGCAAUUUGGGUUACUUUACUUUCUAGAAAUAUUCAGAACAAAAAAGAAUUGUACUGAGGAGUCUAUAAAAGCUUUUAUGAACUUAGCCUGUCCAGUGGCAGGAGAGCUGUAAGUAUCCAGUAAGGACACUUGGAUCAUUAGAGAAGACCCCGCUCUAACAAUUGGGAGAAUUGCCUGAUAAAUCAGCUCUUUGAACCAUAUACAGAAAGGAGAUAAAAAACGUUUUUCACUCACUCUGACUGAGUCUCAGAAUCUUUGUAGUCACCAUAUUGUAUCCACUGGAAUCUGUGUGUAUAUGCUCAGGCACUCAGCCGUGCCCAUCUUUUUGCGACCCCAUGGACUCUAGCCCACCAGGCUUCUUUGUCCAUGGAAUUCUCCAGGCAAGAAUCCUGAAGUGGGUUGCCAUGACCUCCUCCAGGGGAUCUUCCCGACCCAGAGAUCAACCCCAUGUCUCUUAUGUCUCCUGCAUUGGCAGGCAAGUUCUUUUCCACUAGUGCCACCUUGGAAGCCACUUUGUAGGGUUCAGUUGAGUUCAGUUCAGUCGCUCAGUCAUGUCCGACUCUUUGCGACCCCAUGAAUCGCAGCAUGCCAGGCCUCCCUGUCGAUCACCAACUACCGGAGUUCACUCAAACUCACGUCCAUCGAGUCAGUGAUGCCAUCCAGCCAUCUUAUCCUCUGUCGUCCCCUUUUCCUCCUGCCCCCAAUCACUCCCAGCAUCAGAGUCUUUUCCAAUGAGUCAACUCUUCCCAUGAGGUGGCCAAAGUACUGGAGUUUCAGCUUUAGCAUCAUUCCUUCCAAAGAAAUCCCAGGGCUGAUCUCCUUCAGAAUGGACUGGUUGGAUNNNNNNNNNNNNNNNNNNNNNNNNNNNNNNNNNNNNNNNNNNNNNNNNNNNNNNNNNNNNNNNNNNNNNNNNNNNNNNNNNNNNNNNNNNNNNNNNGUCACCAUCUGCAGUGAUUUUGGAGCCCCAAAAGAUAAAGUCUGACACUGUUUCCACUGUUUCCCCAUCUAUUUCCCAUGAAGUGAUGGGACCAGAUGCCAUGAUCUUCGUUUUCUGAAUGUUGAGCUUUAAGCCAACUUUUUCACUCUCCUCUUUCACUUUCAUCAAGAGGCUUUUUAGUUCCUCUUCACUUUCUGCCAUAAGGGUGGUGUCAUCUGCAUGUCUGAGGUUACUGAUGUUUCUCCUGGCAAUCUUGAUUCCAGCUUGUGUUUCUUCCAGUUCAGCGUUUCUCCUGAUGUACUCUGCAUAUAAGUUAAAUAAGCAGGGUGACAAUAUACAGCCUUGACGUACUCCUUUUCCUAUUUGCAACCAGUCUGUUGUUCCAUGUCCAGUACUAACUGUUGCUUCCUGACCUGUGAAAGUGUUUCGAAAACCAGCUCAAACAUCUGGAAGUUCACAGUUCAUGUAUUGCUGAAGCCUGGCUUGGAGAAUUUUGAGCAUUACUUUACUAGCGUGUGAGAUGAGUGCAAUUGUGUGGUAGUUUGAGCACUCUUUGGCAUUGCCUUUCUUUGGAAUUGGAGUGAAAACUGACCUUUUCCAGUCCUGUGGCCACUGCUGAGUUUUUCAAAUUUGCUGGCAUAUUGAGUGCAGCAAAUCAUCAUCUUUCAGCAUUUGAAAAAUGCAUCAUCUUUCAGGAUUUGAAAGAGCUCAACUGGAAUUCCAUCACCUCCACUAGCUUUGUUCAUAGUGAUGCUUUCUAAGGCCCACUUGACUUCACAUUCCACAAUGUCUGGCUCUAGGAUCACAUCACAUCAUCAUGAUUAUCUGGGUCAUGGAGAUCUUUUUUGUACAGUUCUUCUGUGUAUUCUUGCCACCUCUUCUUAAUAUCUUCUGCUUCUCUUAGGUCCAUACCAUUUCUGUCCUUUAUCGAGCCCAUCUUCACAUGAAAUGUUCCCUUGGUAUCUCUAAUUUUCUUGAAGAGAUCUCUAGUCCUUCCCAUUCUGUUCUUUUCCUCUAUUUCUCUUAAUAUCUUCUGCUUCUGUUAGGUCCAUACCAUUUCCGUCCUUUAUCGAGCCCAUCUUUGCAUGAAAUGUUCCCUUGGUAUCUCCAAUUUUCUUGACGAGAUCUCUAGUCUUUCCCAUUCUGUUGUUUUCCUCUAUUUCUUUGCAUUGAUUGCUGAGGAAGGCUUUCUUAUCUCUUCUUGUUAUUCUUUGGAACUCUACAUUCAGAUGCUUAUAUUUUUCCCUUGUAGAAUAGCUUCCCCAAAAUUAUUUUCA
ensembl:lincRNA